rnacentral:rRNA from 1 species
CCUACGGGAGGCAGCAGUGAGGAAUAUUGGUCAAUGGACGAGAGUCUGAACCAGCCAAGUAGCGUGAAGGAUGACUGCCCUAUGGGUUGUAAACUUCGUUUAUAUGGGAAUAAAAUGUUCCACGUGUGGGAUUUUGUAUGUACCAUAUGAAUAAGGAUCGGCUAACUCCGUGCCAGCAGCCGCGGUAAUACGGAGGAUCCGAGCGUUAUCCGGCUUUAUUGGGUUUAAAGGGAGCGUAGGGGGGUUGUUAAGUCAGUUGUGAAAGUUUGCGGCUCAACCGUAAAAUUGCAGUUGAAACUGGCAGUCUUGAGUACAGUAGAGGUGGGCGGAAUUCGUGGUGUAGCGGUGAAAUGCUUAGAUAUCACGAAGAACUCCGAUUGCGAAGGCAGUUCACUGGACUGCAACUGACACUGAGGCUCGAAAGUGUGGGUAUCAAACAGGAUUAGAUACCCGAGUAGUC